UUUUAGGCUUAGGCUUAGGCUUAGGCUUAGGCUUAGGCUUAGGCUUAGGCUUAGGCUUAGGCUUAGGCUUAGGCUUAGGCUUAGGCUUAGGCUUAGGCUUAGGCUUAGGCUUAGGCUUAGGCUUAGGCUUAGGCUUAGGCUUAGGCUUAGG
ensembl:ncRNA 2L52.2 ncRNA